rnacentral:rRNA from 1 species
UACGUAGGGUGCAAGCGUUGUCCGGAAUUAUUGGGCGUAAAGAGCUCGUAGGCGGUUUGUCACGUCUGCUGUGAAAAUCCAAGGCUCAACCUUGGACUUGCAGUGGGUACGGGCAGGCUAGAGUGCUGUAGGGGAGAUGGGAAUUCCAGGUGUAGCGGUGGAAUGCGCAGAUAUCAGGAGGAACACCAAUGGCGAAGGCACAUCUCUGGGCCGUAACUGACGCUGAGGAGCGAAAGCGUGGGGAGCAAACAGG